UACGAAGGGGGCUAGCGUUGCUCGGAAUCACUGGGCGUAAAGGGGGCGUAGGCGGGUCUUUAAGUCAGGGGUGAAAUCCUGGAGCUCAACUCCAGAACUGCCUUUGAUACUGAAGAUCUUGAGUUCGGGAGAGGUGAGUGGAACUGCGAGUGUAGAGGUGAAAUUCGUAGAUAUUCGCAAGAACACCAGUGGCGAAGGCGGCUCACUGGCCCGAUACUGACGCUGAGGCACGAAAGCGUGGGGAGCAAACAGG
rnacentral:rRNA from 1 species